rnacentral:lncRNA from 1 species
CUGACCAGACAAGGGCAUUGUCCCCACUCAGAAAUGCUCCAAAAGAACUAAGGAGAAGGAUUAGAGGAGACAAAAUGUUUUUGCUAAAUUCUUGCACUGAAGCCAGAGUUGCUCAGGAAAUAACAGCUCAGUUUGUUAGCUCUGAUCUCUAAUUCCAUCCCAAAUUCAUAACGUUAUUUUUUUUGUUUGUUUCCAUUGUUCAUUUGUUGUGUGCCUCUUAGGAUGUCCCUUUCCAUCUGGGCCUCAAUGACCUUCCCUGGGAAAUGGGGUACUUGUACUUAACCAUACCCCUGCUUCUAAAGACAAACUGGGAAAAUUAAAUGGAAAUUCUAAAAGAAAGCUUCAUCUUUUAGUUCCUUAGAGAACUAGCAUUACAGUUGAUUACCUAGGUGAUGAUUCAAGCUAUUCAACCCUUGUCAUUCUGAAUGUACUUCUCUUCCAGCUUGCCUUGGAAAGAAAAUCAGCCAGUUAAAGAAAGCAUCAGCUGGAACUCUCUCAGCUCUCAGUGACUGCAGAGUGAACUAUGGCAUUCAGCAUAGAAAAUGUUCUUCCAGUGCUCCAAUAAAUAGCAUUCAGUUUUUAGCCCCAGGGAAUUCAGUGUAGCCCUGGUUACUCCUCACUGCCACAGCCAACACUGCUUCCUUGGGUAGGAGAAAUGAUUUAUGGAGGUGAGCAGCCAUUCCAAACUUUAAUUAAGCACGUAAAGAACCAUCAAUUUUUUAAAGGGCACCAACCCAGAAAGAUGAGAGCUGAACUCCUGUAGAACAUAAUUACCUUUCCAACAUUUUAUCUGAUCUCCUUGUUUUACUUCUCUAAGAUGAGCUGAACAACAGCCAAUCAACCACCCCCACAGGCCACCCUUGGACCAUGACAUACAGGGCAUCUGACUGAUAGUCCCACCAAGACUGCCUAUGAUCAUUUUACUCCUGCAGAGAAAGAUGUGCCUAAAAGAGAAGCAGCACCUACCUGGAAGACUCAGGAGACAAAGAGGGAAAGAAAUGAAUCCCCAAGAUUUCCUGGGCUGAGCCUAACAGGAUAUGAGAAGCAGAAACUUCUGGAUUGUGAGAAGAAACAAAGGAAGAAGAGAGAUGCUCUAUAGGAGAAAAAUCACAGACAAUAAGUGGGGAGAGCAAGAAGACAAAGUUUUGUUACUUUAAUUCACCACUCCUAUCCCCAGCCACCAGUGGCCAUCCUGUACUGGAUUCUAAACCCAGGGCCCUAA